rnacentral:lncRNA from 1 species
GGGAGUGUCUAAAAUAAACUAUUGAGGUUUGGAGAGAAAAUAUUAGAAUUGACAUACUUUAUGUCCUUUUUAAUUUGUAUUUUAUAUAUUUUGUAAAGUAUACGUAAAAAUAUAUGUAUAAAGCAGUACAUAUAUUUAUGUAUAUAUGUACACACACAGCUGGACGAAUAUUGGAAUUUCUUUUAGUGAUUGUGCAGACUUUAGUCUUGGGAAUCUGGAAGGGAUCUGAGAGAUCAUCAUACCCAAACCUUCAUUUUACAAAUAAAGAUUCUGCAGCCCCUGGAAGUGGAAAUUUCUGGUCAAAGACAUGUUAGCCACAGAGGCCCCUCUCUCCUAACUCCCAUUUCAGUGCCGUUUCGGCUCCAGUGUACUGCCUGCCUUCUUAAUGAAGCCUACUUGAGAAAAUGAGACCAACAUGGUGCUCAGUAAUGCCCCUGACAUAGCUGGGCAACUUAUGGGAAACUGUCAGACUUGUUCCUCCAACAUAGCACAAAUUUCAACUGUUGAUACGUAGAAUAGUUUCUUUUUUGGUGAAAAGUGGCAUCUGGUCAAUUUCCCCACUGCCAGUAGAGUCCGCCUGCUCUUGUCGCAUUCUCAUUGGCCAGCUCUCAUGGGCCAGCAUCUGCCUUCUUUUCCUGUGGAAAUUAAAUAGAAGGGCAGGAGAAAGGACAUAUUUGGUAAUGUUACGCUCCUCAGCUUCCUGCUCAGGGCUGUCUCAGCUGCAAAAUGUCAAGGGAAAAAAUAUCCCUCCAACUUGGAAUGAAUUCCAGACAGACCCUGAUGCCUGCAAAUUUGUCAGAGGGAGCCAAGUCCAGCAAGCAGAACAUGAAGAAGGCUCAUUAUUCGGCUUCAAGAGACGCUCAAAUAAUCAGACACUCUGGUAUUUAUGAUUUUCCCCAUUUCAGAUGGUCUGUAGUUCACAACGUUCCCCUCCCUUUACCGCUGAUUCUGAGCUUCCUUUUAAAUUAAACCUCAACAGUUAUAAAAAGACUCUCACAUUACUUGUAAGCCACAAGCACUCCUGGGAGACACCGUUCCUACAGGGCCGCUCAGUGCUGGAGAAGGGCGGUUUUUCUUGAUUUUUAGUGUGGGGAGGGCAGGCCAGGAAGUCAGACUCGCUUCACCUUGACCAUGCCACGGUCCUCAUCUAGUUUCGACAACUGUGCCAGGACCGCCUGCUACUCGCUGCAUCUGAUAUGAUGAGCUUUACUAAAAGCUGGUUAUUUCAUUCCGUUGACUUUCUUUUUCACUUUAGCUAGUUUUCAUCAUGGAGCAUGGAAUAACCAGAAAGUUUUUCCUGACACUCCUGGUUUGUGAAUACACCAGGACUGUUUGUAAGGUUGAGUUUUGGGGGAUCUUAGUCUUUUCCUGGCAUUCAGUCCGUUUUCUUUCUCUUUUAAAACCAUUGCCACAUGCUGGCAAAAAGGCAAGGAAACAGAACUUGUAAUCCAAACCUCAUUAAAUUGCUACAUACGCAUUUUCCCUUCUACUUCUUGCUCUUCAUUUCGAAAUGCCACGGCUUGUGUUUGUACUCGGUCACCUUGAAUCCUUAUUUGGGUUCUCCAACAGGCACGAGGGCAUCCAAAGAUCAGUUUUAGCAAGCAGUGGAAGUGCCCACAUGAGGAAUGGGGUGUUCCGUCUUCACAUGUGGUCUCCAUGAAUAAGGGUCUUCUUUCUUCCUUUUCCUAAACUGUCCAGCAUCUCAACUCUGGUUUUGCUCCUCAACAGUCUCAGGUUUGUGCUACUUCCAUGGUGAUCAACUGUUAGGUCAUAAACAUUAGAUUGUGGCAUCACCAAAUGAGUCAGAUGGGAGGAAGCUGGGCUGGAAAUACAGCUGCAAGCCUCUGUUGACAGAUGGAUGCCUUCUUAAUCACAGCCUGCGUCUCUCACAGGACAUCCACUAAGAGGAGGGGGAAAGUGAAGAAGGAAGCUCUUUCCGGUCACUUUUUGAGUGUCAGCAAAGAGAAAAUAGAGCUGCAGCAAGCUGAUCAGAAGUUGCACGUCACAGCAGCCUGACAAUCAAGUGAGAGAGGCUGCUACUGAUGGACCAUCAGUGACCAUGGAGAUUCUGAAUCCCUGAAGCACUUGACAAAAGAAAUCUUGUGGGUGAUGUGAAAAUCCACGUAUGCCCAUGAGAGUAUAUUGAGCGCAUGAAUGUGUGCUUAGUGUGUCAUUAAGAAGAGAAGUUUGUGAGCCACUGUUUUGGAGUAAGAAAUAGCACAGAAGACUUCAAUUUUGGCCUGAAAUUGCUUCUUUAGUCGCUGGCCAUCAGAUAUGUGGAAAGCAUCAUGUUUCACUUUGACCUAGAUUUGUAAUGACAGGAUGCACCAAAUUCCUUCACUGAAGUGAAACCUUAAAGAAUCUUUAAGUAGAACUUGAAAGUGUCAAAGGGCAUUUUACCGUAGUUAGUGUACAUUUCUUGACAAGA